GAAAAGGCAGUGUUGCGCAAUGUACAUGGCCAAGCACUGAAUGCAGUGGCAAAGACGCGUCCUCCAUCCUCGUGGCCAGUAGGCGCACUCGUCGUGAGGCUUCUCCUGCGUGUCGUCACCGGUGCUCCUCAGAUUUUUAAGGAUGCACACCGACGUUGAAGACA
rnacentral:lncRNA from 1 species